ACCCCCCAGUUCCCAUACUCAUCAGAUCCAGACCCUGGUAUGAGUGGUUAUAAAAAGAGGAAAAGUCAAAUGGAAACUAACUUCAAUUCUUUAGUGACACACGAGCUAGUUUUAAACACAC
rnacentral:snoRNA from 1 species